rnacentral:misc_RNA from 1 species
GAUGAAGAACGUAGCGAAAUGCGAUAAGUAGUGUGAAUUGCAGAAUUCAGUGAAUCAUCGAAUCUUUGAACGCACAUUGCGCCCCUUGGUAUUCCAUGGGGCAUGCCUGUUCGAGCGUCAUUUGUACCUUCAAGCUCUGCUUGGUGUUGGGUGUUUGUCUCGCCUCUGCGUGUAGACUCGCCUCAAAACAAUUGGCAGCCGGCGUAUUGAUUUCGGAGCGCAGUACAUCUCGCGCUUUGCACUCAUAACGACGACGUCCAAAAGUACAUUUUUACACUCUUGACCUCAAAUCAGGUAAGAAUACCCGCUGAACUUAAGCAUAUCAAUAAGCGGAGGA